GCCCCUAUAGUAUAGUAGUAGCAUAACUAGCUAAUAUCGUACGUCGCAGCCUAGGCUCCACGGCUGCGAACUACGCAGCCUGCUAGCUAGAAGGCGAAGGUUCGAUUCCUUCUAGGGGUA
rnacentral:tRNA from 1 species